CCUACGGGGGCAGCAGUGGGGAAUAUUGGACACUGGGCGAAAGCCUGAUCCAGCCAUGCCGCGUGUGUGAAGAAGGCCUUCGGGUUGUAAAGCACUUUCAGUGGGGAAGAAAGCCUUGGGGCUAAUACCCUCGAGGAAGGACAUCACCCACAGAAGAAGCACCGGCUAACUCCGUGCCAGCAGCCGCGGUAAUACGGAGGGUGCGAGCGUUAAUCGGAAUUACUGGGCGUAAAGCGCGCGUAGGCGGUCUGAUAAGCCGGUUGUGAAAGCCCCGGGCUCAACCUGGGAACGGCAUCCGGAACUGUCAGGCUAGAGUGCAGUAGAGGAAGGUAGAAUUCCCGGUGUAGCUGUGAAAUGCGUAGAGAGCGGGAGGAAUACCAGUGGCGAAGGCGGCCUUCUGGACUGACACUGACGCUGAGGUGCGAAAGCGUGGGUAGCAAACAGGAUUAGAUACCCUUGUAGUC
rnacentral:rRNA from 1 species